rnacentral:rRNA from 1 species
UACGUAGGGUGCAAACGUUGCUCGGAAUCAUUGGGCGUAAAGCGCACGUAGGCGGUCUGUUAUGUCGGAUGUGAAAGCCCUUGGCUUAACUGAGGAAGUGCAUCCGAAACUGGCAGGCUAGAGUACUAAAGAGGGUCGCGGAAUUCCCGGUGUAGAGGUGAAAUUCGUAGAUAGCGGUAAGGAACACCAGUGGCGAAGGCGGUCUCCUGGG